rnacentral:misc_RNA from 1 species
GAUGAAGAACGUAGUGAAACGCGAUAUGUAAUGUGAAUUGCAGAAUUCAGUGAAUCAUCGAAUCUUUGAACGCACAUGGCGCCUUCCAGUAUCCUGGGAGGCAUGCCUGUCCGAGCGUCGUUUCAACCCUCGAGCCCUCGUGGCCCGGCGUUGGGGAUCUGCCACGGGAGGCCCCGAAAUACAGUGGCGGACCCGUUAGGCCCUUCCUUUGCGUAGUAGCAUCAGCCUCGCAUCGGGAGCCGGCGGGCUCUCCUGCCUCUAAACCCCCCAACAAGCCCGCUCCGGCGGCACCAAGGUUGACCUCGGAUCAGGUAGGAAUACCCGCUGAACUUAAGCAUAUCAAUAAGCGGAGGA